AUUGAACGCUGGCGGCAGGCCUAAUACAUGCAAGUCGAACGAGUGGCGGACUGGUUAGUAAUGUCUGGGAAACUGCCUGAUGGAGGGGGAUAACUACUGGAACCGGUAGCUAAUACCGCAUACCAUCAGAUGUGCCCAGAUGGGAUUAGCUCGUAGGUGGGGUAACGGCUCACCUAGGCGACGAUCCCUAGCUGGUCUGAGAGGAUGACCAGCCAUACUGGAACUGAGACACGGUCCAGACUCCGACGGGAGGCAGCAGUGGGGAAUUUUGCACAAUGGGCGCAAGCCUGAUGCAGCCAUGCCGCGUGUAUGAAGAAGGCCUGCGGGUUGUAAAGGACUUUCAGCGGGGAGGCGUUACCCGCAUAAGAAGCACCGGCUAACUCCGUGCCAGCCGCCGCGGUAAUAC
rnacentral:rRNA from 1 species